GCGAACGCUGGCGGUAUGCUUAACACAUGCAAGUCGAGCGCGAAAGUGACUUCGGUCAUGAGUAGAGCGGCGGACGGGUGAGUAACACGUGGAUAAUCUGCCUUUAGGACUGGGAUAACCCUGGGAAACUAGGGCUAAUACCGGAUAAGACCACAGGUUCCAUGGAACCAGGGGUAAAAGGCGGCCUUCGGGCUGUCGCCGAAAGAUGAGUCCGCGUCCCAUCAGGUAGUUGGUGAGGAACGGCUCACCAAGCCGAAGACGGGUAGCCGACCUUAGCGGGUGAUCGGCCACACGGGGACUGAGACACGGCCCCGACUCCUACGGGAGGCAGCAGUGGGGAAUCUUGGGCAAUGGGCGCAAGCCUGACCCAGCAAUACCGCGUGAGGGAUG
rnacentral:rRNA from 1 species